GACGUAGGAGGCAAGCGUUAUCCGGAUUUACUGGGCGUAAAGGGCAAGUAGGCGGUUGUCCAAGUUGGGCGUGACAUCUCCUGGCUUAACUAGGAGGGGUCGUUCAAUACUGGAUGACUUGAGGACAGAAGAGGGAAGUGGAACUCCCAAUGUAGCGGUGGAAAGCUCAGAUAUUGGGAAGAACACCAGUGGCGAAGGCGGCUUCCUGGUCUGAUCCUGACGCUGAGAGGCGAAAGCUAGGGUAGCAAACGGGCUUAGAUACCCCGGUAGUCCUAGCUGUAAACGGUGGAUACUAGGUAUCGGCGGUUAAGGCCGUCGGUGCCGAAGCUAACGCGUUAAGUAUCCCGCCUGGGGACUACGACCGCAAGGUUAAA
rnacentral:rRNA from 1 species